rnacentral:rRNA from 1 species
GACGAACGCUGGCGGCGUGCCUAAUACAUGCAAGUAGAACGCAGUGGCGAACGGGUGAGUAACGCGUAGGUAACUGCCUCAUAGCGGGGGAUAACUAUGGGAAACGAUAGCUAAUACCGCAUACUGUGAGAUGGACCUGCGUUGUGUUGGCUAGGUGGUGAGGUAAAGGCUCACCAAGGCGACGAUACAUAGCCGAACUGAGAGGGUGGUCCGGCACACUGGGACUGAGAAACGGCCCAGAAGCCUUCGGGAGGCAGCAGUAGGGAAUCUUUGGACAUGGACGGAAGUCUGACCGAGGAACGCCCCGGGAGUGAAGAAGGUUUUCGGAUCGUAAAGCUAUGUUGUUAGAGAAGCGGUACCGAACCAGAAAGGGACGGCUAACUACGUGCCAGCAGCCGCGGUAAUAC